rnacentral:rRNA from 1 species
UACGGAGGGGGCUAGCGUUGUUCGGAAUUACUGGGCGUAAAGGGUGCGCAGGCGGACUGGUAAGUCAGAGGUGAAAUCUCGUCGCUUAACGACGAAACUGCCUUUGAUACUAUCAGUCUUGAGUCCGGUAGAGAUCUGUGGAAUUCCGAGUGUAGCAGUGAAAUGUGUAGAUAUUCGGAAGAACACCAGUGGCGAAGGCAGCAGAUUGGGCCGGUACUGACGCUCAGGCACGAAAGCAUGGGGAUCAAACAGG